rnacentral:rRNA from 1 species
AGGACGAACGCUGGCGGCGUGCUUAACACAUGCAAGUCGAACGAACCUUCGGGUUAGUGGCGAACGGGUGAGUAACACGUGGGCAACCUGCCUCGAGCUCUGGGAUAACACCGGGAAACCGGUGCUAAUACCGGAUAUGAACAGAGAAGGCAUCUUCUCUGUUGGAAAGUUUUUCGGCUCGAGAUGGGCCCGCGGCCUAUCAGCUUGUUGGUGGGGUAACGGCCUACCAAGGCGACGACGGGUAACC